CAAAAUAGAGGUCAAGUUUAAUAAUGACAAUUUUGACUUUUACCGUUCAGGAGUUAUGGUUCUUGAAAGAUCGUAAAAUGGCGUUUCCAUUCACGUUGUUGCAUUUACUCAUGAACCAUUCAAUCUAAGCUUUUCAAAUUUUAAUAUGUUGAUACUGAUGACAAAAUGGAGGUCAAAUUUGAUAUUGACGAUUUUCACUUUCACCAUUCAUCAGUAAUGGUUCUUGUGAUAUUGCCAGGACACAAAUAAAUGUUAAUAAAUCCGGUUUGCUGUCGUUGUGACAGCCUCUUGUUUUAAG
rnacentral:lncRNA from 1 species